UACGUAGGGUGCAAGCGUUUGUUCGGAAUUACUGGGCGUAAAGGCUCGUAGGUGGCCAACUAAGUCAGACGUGAAAUCCCUCGGCUUAACCGGGGAACUGCAUCUGAUACUGGAUGGCUUGAGAUUGGGAGAGGGAUGCGGAAUUCCAGGUGUAGCGGUGAAAUGCGUAGAUAUCUGGAGGAACACCGGUGGCGAAGGCGGGUCUCUGGGCCGUAACUGACGCUGAGGAGCGAAAGCAUGGGGGAGCGAACA
rnacentral:rRNA from 1 species